rnacentral:rRNA from 1 species
AGUGAACGCUGGCGGCGUGCUUAACACAUGCAAGUCGAACGGUAACAGCAGUACUUGUACUGGCUGACGAGUGGCGAACGGGUGAGUAAUGUAUAGUUGAUUUGCCUUUAGGAUAGGGAUAGCCAUUGGAAACGAUGAUUAAUACCUAAUAUACCUUAUUUAGUAAAUAAGUAAGGGAAAUGCUUUCGUGCCUAAAGAUAAGACUAUAUGGUAUCAGGUAGUUGGUGGGGUAAGAGCCUACCAAGCCGAUGACGCCUAGCUGGUCUGAGAGGAUGAUCAGCCACACUGGAACUGAGACACGGUCCAGACUCCUACGGGAGGCAGCAGUGGGGAAUAUUGCACAAUGGAGGAAACUCUGAUGCAGCAACGCCGCGUGGAGGAUGACGCAUUUCGGUGUGUAAACUCCUUUUAUAUGGGAAGAUAAUGACGGUACCAUAUGAAUAAGCACCGGCUAACUCCGUGCCAGCAGCCGCGGUAAUACGGAGGGGGUUAGCGUUGUUCGGAAUUACUGGGCGUAAAGCGCACGUAGGCGGACUGGAAAGUUGGGGGUGAAAUCCCGGGGCUCAACCCCGGAACUGCCUCCAAACUUCCCAUCUAGAGAUCGAGAGAGGUGAGUGGAAUUCCAAGUGUAGAGGUGAAAUUCGUAGAUAUUGGGAGGAACACCAAGUGCGAAGGCGACUCCCUGGA